AGAGUUUGAUCCUGGCUCAGAACGAACGCUGGCGGCAGGCCUAACACAUGCAAGUCGAACGCCCCGCAAGGGGAGUGGCAGACGGGUGAGUAACGCGUGGGAACAUACCCUUCGGUUCGGAAUAGCUCAGGGAAACUUGAAUUAAUACCGGAUACGUCCGCAAGGAGAAAGAUUUAUCGCCGAAGGAUUGGCCCGCGUCUGAUUAGCUAGUUGGUGGGGUAAUGGCUCACCAAGGCGACGAUCAGUAGCUGGUCUGAGAGGAUGAUCAGCCACAUUGGGACUGAGACACGGCCCAAACUCCUACGGGAGGCAGCAGUGGGGAAUAUUGGACAAUGGGCGCAAGCCUGAUCCAGCCAUGCCGCGUGAGUGAUGAAGGCCCUAGGGUUGUAAAGCUCUUUCGUCAGGGACGAUAAUGACGGUACCUGAAGAAGAAGCCCCGGCUAACUUCGUGCCAGCAGCCGCGGUAAUACGAAGGGGGCUAGCGUUGUUCGGAAUCACUGGGCGUAAAGCGCACGUAGGCGGAUUCUUAAGUCAGGGGUGAAAUCCCGGGGCUCAACCUCGGAACUGCCUUUGAUACUGGGAAUCUCGAGUCCGGGAGAGGUGAGUGGAAUUGCGAGUGUAGAGGUGAAAUUCGUAGAUAUUCGCAAGAACACCAGUGGCGAAGGCGGCUCACUGGCCCGGUACUGACGCUGAGGUGCGAAAGCGUGGGGAGCAAACAGGAUUAGAUACCCUAGUAGUCC
rnacentral:rRNA from 1 species